AACGCACGAGACCUGCGGACCUGCGGAAGGAUCAUUAGUGAACGCCCUCACGGGCUUAUAACUAUUCCAAACCUCUGUGAACCGUGCCCUUCGGGGCUAUUUUACGAACAUGGUGUAAUGAACGUCAUAUAUCAUAACAAAACAAAACUUUCAACAAUGGAUCUCU
rnacentral:misc_RNA from 1 species